rnacentral:rRNA from 1 species
AUACGGAGGGUGCAAGCGUUACUCGGAAUCACUGGGCGUAAAGCGCGCGCAGGCGGGCUGAUAAGUUGGAUGUGAAAGCCUACGGCUCAACCGUAGAACUGCAUCCAAAACUGUCAAGCUAGAGUCUGGGAGGGGAAGAUGGAAUUAGUUGUGUAGGGGUAAAAUCCGUAGAGAUAACUAGGAAUACCAAAAGCGAAGGCGAUCUUCUGGAACAGUACUGACGCUGAGGCGCGAAAGCGUGGGGAGCAAACAGGAUUAGAAACCCCAGUAGUCC